CGGGUGAGUAACACGUGGAUAACCUACCUAUAAGACUGGGAUAACUUCGGGAAACCGGAGCUAAUACCGGAUAAUAUUUUGAACCGCAUGGUUCAAAAGUGAAAGACGGUCUUGCUGUCACUUAUAGAUGGAUCCGCGCUGCAUUAGCUAGUUGGUAAGGUAACGGCUUACCAAGGCAACGAUGCAUAGCCGACCUGAGAGGGUGAUCGGCCACACUGGAACUGAGACACGGUCCAGACUCCUACGGGAGGCAGCAGCU
rnacentral:rRNA from 1 species